rnacentral:rRNA from 1 species
AUUGAACUCUGGCGGCAGGCUUAACACAUGCAAGUCGAGCGGAGAGAGGUAGCUUGCUACUGAGCUUAGCGGCGGACGGGUGAGUAAUGCUUAGGAAUCGGCCUAUUAGUGGGGGACAACAUCUCGACAGGAGUGCUAAUACCGAAUACGUCCUACGGGAGAAAGCAGGGGAUCUUCGGACCUGGUGCUAAUAGAUGAGCCUAGGUCGGAUUAGAUAGUUGGUGGGGUAAAGGUCUACCAAGGCGACGAUCUGUAGCGGGUCUGAGAGGAUGAUCCGCCACACUGGGACUGAGACACGGCCCAGACUCCUACGGGAGGCAGCAGUGGGGAAUAUUGGACAAUGGGCGGAAGCCUGAUCCAGCCAUGCCGCGUGUGUGAAGAAGGCCUUAUGGUUGUAAAGCACUUUAAGCGAGGAGGAGGCUACUUUAGUUAAUACCUAGAGAUAGUGGACGUUACUCGCAGAAUAAGCACCGGCUAACUCUGUGCCAGCAGCCGCCGUAA